rnacentral:rRNA from 1 species
GACGAACGCUGGCGGCGCGCCUAACACAUGCAAGUCGAACGGAGCUGAGAGAAGCUUGCUUUUCUUAGCUUAGUGGCGUACGGGUGAGUAACGCGUGAGUAACCUGCCCUGGAGUGGGGGACAACAGUUGGAAACGACUGCUAAUACCGCAUAAGCCCACGAUCCGGCAUCGGAUUGAGGGAAAAGGAUUUAUUCGCUUCAGGAUGGACUCGCGUCCAAUUAGCUAGUUGGUGAGGUAACGGCCCACCAAGGCGACGAUUGGUAGCCGGACUGAGAGGUUGAACGGCCACAUUGGGACUGAGACACGGCCCAGACUCCUACGGGAGGCAGCAGUGGGGGAUAUUGCACAAUGGGGGAAACCCUGAUGCAGCGACGCCGCGUGGAGGAAGAAGGUUUUCGGAUUGUAAACUCCUGUCGUUAGGGACGAUAAUGACGGUACCUAACAAGAAAGCACCGGCUAACUACGUG